AGAUGAUUUAGUUUACAGUAAGUGUGUUAACGUCUGUGAUUGCGUGCUGAGUCUGUGUCUGUGUGUUGAGGUGGAGGAGUGGGCUGAGGCUGUGUUUGACUUCCCCGGUCAGACUGCAGAGGAUCUUUCCUUCCACAAGGGGGCGCUCAUCCGAGUGACGCAGCACAUCGACUCCGAGUGGAGGAGAGGGAGGCUGGAGGGGAGGGAGGGGAUCUACCCCGCGGCCUUCACACAGCCCGGCCUCGCUCAGCCAAUCACAGGCCAGCAGUCAGUGGUUUAAAGGAGUGGCCAAGUUUGACUUCACAGCAGAGAGCGAGGAUGAGCUCGCGUUAAAGGUCGGUGACAUUAUAACGCAGGUGGAGUUUGUGGAUGAGCAGUGGAUUCUGGGAGAUGUAGGCGGGAAGCGCGGGAUUGUUCCAAAAAACUACAUUUCACUUCUCUGAUGAGGAAAAACGAGGAGAUAUCUUUGUUCUUUCCGUGUGUGCAGCCGCGCUCUUCAAACAGGUCGGUCGACAUUUAUCCCAAAACUUUUCAGACAGUUUUUGAUUCAACAAAAAGCCGCCGGUGGUUUUUAUUGGUGGUUUGAACACCGGAUCUCCGAGGUGCGAGUGGAUCUUUGAUGAAGCAUUGACCUAACGUCAACGGGACGGACCUGCGCUGCUGUAACGCCGGACUAAAACUGAUUCACGCCGCUGACUCUGCGCUCCGACUGACUCCUGGACUGGAUUUGACUUUUCUCUCUCUGGCUCUGCGUCUGGAGUCCAGUGGACAACAAUCUAAACUUUCAAUGCUCACAUGAUGGGAGAUGAACACAUGAUCUUUAAGUAUUCAAACUGGAAAGCUUCACGGAGGACUGACCCCCUGUAGUUACCUCUGUUAAAGCUUCGAUGUAUUAUUAAAGUAGUGAACAUUCGUCUCGUCCUGAGCCGGAGGAGGAAACUGAAUAAUGUGUGUGAGCCUCCUACACGUCUGUCACGUGCAGCGAUGACCACUGAGACUAAUGAACUGAAUGUUUUGUCGUACCUGCAGCUAUUUAUACAAGUCAGGCUUUUAGUUGCACAUGUUCACUUUGCAGAACGUUCUAAGUCUAAAAUGCAUUAAGACAUUAUGACGUGUUAUAAUCUGCCUACAGCUCUUUAACCCUAUAACACAUUAUUAUCACUGUUUUAAUGCAUCAUACUGUGAUUAUAAGUAACUCUCAGAGCUUUAACUUGUUGUAGCUCAGAUUUUAUAAUCAUUUCCACUAAAAACCAACAAUUAUUACGUAUAAUAAUAAUAAUAAUAAUAACAACUGUACAAUUAUAAUGCACAUCCUGGUCGAAAGAAAAGCUUCUAUAAUGUGUUCUGAUUAUAACGACAGAGCUGUUAGCAGAUUAUAACACAUAUAUAUGAGUAUGUUUAUACAUUUUAGACUUAAAAAGUUUCACUAAAAGCUUCUUUUAAAAGAAAAGUACAUUCCCAAAGCUCUGCCGCUUAAACUGAAUCACUUUACAGAAACAUGAACAUCUCUGCGGCGCUGAGCGUUUUAUAAAAGGUGUCGAGGCUUCGCUGCUCGCUGCUCGAUGUUCUGCAGUGCGACUCGAGUCGGCCGUAAGUGGACCUGAUUUAACAGAUUUAAACGUGCCGCUCAAUAAAAGCACAAAACUGGAUUAUGACCAUAUUUUAAAACUGUUAUAUGAAGAUGUUGAUAUUAAAAAUACGCUUUAAAGAAUCACAUCUGAUACUUAAAGACAUCCUAAUGAAAAGUCUGAGUGUCGUGUGAACACGUAACUCGCUCCAGCUGGAGUCACUUUAUCUAAUGUUCUUCCAUCUUUUCUCAUUUCCUGUUAAAACACCACGUCGUAAAAACAUCUCAAAUAUCCAGACUGAAGUUUUAAUUAAAGAUGAAACCUGUGAUAAAGAUGAAGAUGAUGAUGAUGAUGAAGAUGAUGAAGAUGGAGGUCCAGUGCUUCGCUCACUCUCUGCUCAGAUUAGUUUUACUAUUAAGUCUCUUCCAUGUAAUUCUGCUUAAUUUAGGAGGAAAUAAAAUGCAGACGAUACGACAUGGUGCUGGUUCACGUCUUCUUCUGUGUGUGUGUGUGUGUGUGUGUGUGUGUGUGUGUGUGUGUGUGUGUGUGU